GUGCUCGCUUCGGCAGCACAUAGACUAAAACUGGAACGAUACAGAGAUUAGCAUGGCCCCUGCGCAAGGAUGGCACGCAAACUCGUGAAGCGUUCCAUGUUUAU
ensembl:snRNA U6 U6 spliceosomal RNA